CUAACACUCAUCGAUUGGGCAAGUCUUUCUGCUUUAUAUAAGUUCCAGUUGGUCCACUUGGCAGCGUUAGACUGGCCUUGUACGCUGCUCGUUUUCUUCGUCGCUAAGAGAGGAAGAGAGAGAGAGAGAGAGACGUCCCUCUCCCCAGAUUCACCACGCGUGCCGUCCCCAUCCUCUCUUGCCUCCUUCCUCUCGGUUCGUCGUUUCAGUGUCGGUGGCUCUCGUCGAUUAGCACGGCGGCGCCGAAGUUGAGGGCUUCAUGGGCGAUAUCAAGGCGGAGGAAGAUGGGUGGUGGGAUGGAUCUGGUCGCCGUGGUGUCGGAGCUCGGCGAGGGGAGGAGUUCGACCCUGGCCCCUCACAGCCUCGCUACCUGCCUCCUCUUCAUCUCUUCUCCCUCGUGCUCCUCGUAAUCUCAAUCUCCAUCUUCGUCGGUAUGCAUCGUCCUCCUCAUCUGCCACUCAUCCACCAUGCCCAAGGCUAGCAGGAAGAGGCCGACCAAUGGUGCAAGCGGCCAUGACAACUCAAGAGACGCCGCACCUGCCCCCUGCCUGCUUUACAGGCACCAUCUCUCUCUAUCUCUCAUUCUCUCUUUUUCUAGAUUUUCUCAUAUUUGUUUCUGUGCCUGCAAGGUGUUCGAUGUAAUGUGGUCAAUGUAUAGCGAUUUGUAUGUUUUCUUGUUUAUCUUCAGAUGGGGCAAUACUUUCAAUCAAGCUGGCUACUUAUAGACGUCAUCUAGGUUCCAAUUCUGUGGUCAUUUCUUUUACACAUAAUGGACACUUCUUGGGAAUAUGAUGCAGCCAAUUCUAUUUGUUUAAGCCCAGUUGCUUCAUUCACUUUAGGCUGAUUGUGAUGACACGAGUUCGCAACCAUUGACCUCCCUUCAACGGAACAAGGGAUCGGAACUCUCGCGCAUGAUUAAAGAGGCGAAGCAUCUUGGCUUGGCCGGCAUGCCUUGCUUGGAUGGCGUCGAGGAAGCAGAAGCACAGUGUGCAUUGCUUGAUUUAAACUCAUUGUGCGAAGGCUGUUUUACAUCAGAUUCAGAUGCUUUUCUUUUUGGAUCAAGGACAGUUUACAGAGAAGUCUUCAUAGGGGACGGUGGUUAUGUCAUUUGCUACGAAAUGGAGGACAUAGAGAAGAAGCUUGGUUUUGGCAGGAAAUCACUGAAACAGUUCCUCGCGACCACAGUAAAAAUCAUGACGUGGCAUCGCUCCUUGCUCAACCCAGCGUUUCGCUCUUGAGAGUUUAAUACUACGUAGGAGGACAUAGCUGCAUCAGUCUGAUUAGCAGGAAGAUGGUGAGGGCCCUUGGAAAGUACCCGUUUUUGGAACGUCCAGUGCUGCAAAUUCUAAGCAAGGCCGGCCCUGGCGUAUGGCCAGAGGGACGACGGCCUAGGGCCCAGCCCUGGAGGGGGCCAUGAUCUGGUAUCGAAUAGAGAAAAUGGAAGAAAGGAACAACAUGAUGGGCUGGCCCAAUUGAUCGUUAGCGCUAGGAAAUUAGCGUGGCACUCGCACGACGGCCGCAUCUCGCACGGGUCCAUCCUGAUCGCUUCUUCCUCUCAAUCACAACUCUCUCUAACCUAUUCCUGCCACCGCUCAGCCUGCCGCAAGCCGCCGCAGCCGGCAGACAGUUCUCUACUGUGCUGUCAUCGCCCAGCGCCCCCGGUCUCCACUCUCCAGACGCUGCUGAGCACGGCGCACACCUACAUCGAUUUCCAGAUCCCACAGGAAGUCUGCAUCGUACCAUCGUCGAGUGUCAGACACUAAUGGUGAUCCGAUCAAUCGCAGAUUAAUAUCAGUGCUUAACGAAUGAACCUACAUGGUGAGUCGAUAAUAGUUGUCAUGGACGAGUAGAACCAAGGAAGAAAUUAUUGGACGGAAUUGACAACGCCUCCAUCAAAAGUAACUAUGCACGGAUGGGUGCUAGAAGAAUUUUUAAAGGUUGGAGAGUAACAUGGAUAUAACAUCAUUUUAAAAAUUCGAAUUUGGCUAAUCCAUGUGUACAGUUGGAGAGUACCUGCUUUUGAAGCUAUAAUUAGCAAAAAGCAAAAAUGAGACUAUAAUUAGCAAAAAGCAAAAAUGAGACAGGAUAGCUUCAAAAGCAAGUACCGAGCUUUCACUCAGGAGGCGCCGCAAGGGGGCGCCAAAACCACUAGUUUUAGGGAUAGAGGGCUAAUACAAGAAUCAGUAAAAUUCAGAGUUUCGAAUCUAAGUUAACACCUGUAUUCCCGCAACUCCCCUGCGUCAACUAACAGUCUAAUACAUGCCAUAUGGUAGCAUAUUAUGAGCAAUUCAACUGUUACUGGCUUAAUGCAGCCAUUACAAGAAAAUAUGCAGACUAUAAAACAUGUAAAAAAGAGAGAGCUGCUAUUGUUGCAUGCAAUGUAAAUUGGUUCAUCUGAACCUCCAUGGACAGCAAAGUAGAAGCAAAUCAACAUGCAAAGGCAGGAGAAAAGCUAGAGAGCGGGCCUGGUCAUGGAAAUAGAUUCAACAGUUGGAAGAGGUAGGAUGUGUGGUACUUGGUCGGAUUUGGAAUGGUUGGCCCUUGGUGGCGCAGACGAAGCGGAUCCGUGUCGACAGUGACUUGCCUCCGCACGACGGUGGUUCUUGUUGAGCUGCUUUUGGUGCCGCCGGCAGGGCCCUCCUCCACAUACUCGUCCUCCUUGACGUCCAUCUCCAUGGAUCUAGAUUGAGAGGGGGUCAGAGGUGAGGAAGGGGAAGAAAGGAGGCGAUGUGCCUCAGUUGAGAGGAGGCGUGGACGACUGGAUGUCAAGUUCGCUUCCUUCUCCGAUGGCCGGCGUCGGAGGACCUGGCCAUGGGCUGAGGUGGUGGCGGCGACAACCCUAACAUGCGUCGAGGGAGAAGGGGUGGGGGUGAUUUCCUCUUCCUCUCUCUCUACUCUUUUGGACGAAGCAAACAACGCGAUGGGGCGGAGAAGGGCAAACCGCCGGUCUUCUUUGUCUGUAGCUAAUUCGACGUGGACAAUGCAAGAGCACGACCCUCUCCUACACCUUAUUGUGUUUGAUUUGAGGCUUCCAAUUUGAGAUGUCCGGUUGCACUAGUAGAAAACAGGGCUUUGGUUCGGGCCUGGCCAGCCCAUUAGUCCCGAUUCAGCCACAAACCGGGACCCAUGGGGGCAUACGUCCCGGUUCGUGAGCCCAGGGGGGCGGCCAGGGCCUCCUGGGCAUUGGUCCCGCUUCGUCUGGACACAUUUGUCCCGGUUCCUGGCACGAACCGGGACAAAUGGGCCUCGCUCCUGGCCCACAUACAUUGGUCCCGGUUCGUGGCUCGAACCGGGACAGAAGGGGGAGCUU